GACGAACGCUGGCGGCGUGCCUAAUACAUGCAAGUUGAGCGCUGAAGGUUGGUACUUGUCCCAACUGGAUGAGCAGCGAACGGGUGAGUAACGCGUGGGGAAUCUGCCUUUGAGCGGGGGACAACAUUUGGAAACGAAUGCUAAUACCGCAUAAAAACUUUAAACACAAGUUUUAAGUUUGAAAGAUGCAAUUGCAUCACUCAAAGAUGAUCCCGCGUUGUAUUAGCUAGUUGGUGAGGUAAAGGCUCACCAAGGCGAUGAUACAUAGCCGACCUGAGAGGGGGAUCGGCCACAUUGGGAACGGGACACGGCCCAAACCCCUACGGGAGGCAGCAGUAGGGAAUCUUCGGAAAUGGACGAAAGUCUGACCGAGCAACGCCGCGUGAGUGAAGAAGGUUUUCGGAUCGUAAAACUCUGUUGGUAGAGAAGAACGUUGGUGAGAGUGGAAAGCUCAUCAAGUGACGGUAACUACACAGAAAGGGACGGCUAACUACGUG
rnacentral:rRNA from 1 species